CCCGGCUGAGCCCUAAUCCGCACUUAGCCGGCAGUCAAACAUUUAACCUUUUACAAUAUGGUCGCGUUGGCAGGCAUCUUAAUUUAUAGCCGGGACAGGUGGCCAACUAGUGGCCACAAAUGGACCCACCUGCUUGCCAAGCAGUCGAAAGCACACGAACUAUAUGAGUAUCCCCAUCCAAGUGGAGACUCGUCGUGUGCCACGUCGUGUGUUUCUGUUCUUGUUGUUUUGUGCAUAUUUUAGAUUAGGUGGUUUUUAUGGCCAGUAAACAGUUCAUUAUUUAAGCCACAAUUGAUGGACGCCUUGAUGCAGCUUUCCACUCAGCCAGACAAACAGAUACAAGACACAGGGUUCAUUGAAGCAGCAAUCAACUAGUUGCAGCUUUGCUGUAAGCUGUCAACAAAAAGCAAAUAAAAGAAUAUUUUAGAAACUUUGCUCACACAUUUUUUACAUUUUUUUAAAAUGUCUUGAAUAAAUUUCCACAAAUCCAAAGUUUCGGUCUACCCGCAAAUUGUACACAAAUAUAUUCCACCAAUUUUCCAUACUUUUGAGUGGAAUAUUCUAAAACCCCGACUCUUAAAUUUCGAUGAGCAAAAAACAGUUUCAUCUUUCUAAACCUUGAAAUAAUCUUUUAAUUAAAUUAAUAGUAUUUUCUUGUUUGGAUUUAUAGCUAGUAAUUCCCCCAACCGGUUACUAAAAAUAAUACCACAUGAUUUAAAAAUCGACAACCAAAAUUCAUACUAAAUCUUUAGCGGCUUCUAUGCAAUUUCAUGGGCAACACCUACAACAAGAAUAUAUUUUAUCGUUUGGCUAAAAUGCAAGCGAAAAUCCGCCCCAAAACACUCGCAGACAAAAUCGGUGAAGGUCGCGCAGAUAAAUAGAAAACAACGAGCUGGGGCGUGGCUGGUGUAGCUGCAGCAAAACCAACAUAAUUUGAAAAUCAUUUAAGUAGAAAUUUGCUGUGUAUAUGUGUGUGUGUGUGUGAGUGUGUAUGCCACGCCCACUAGCAACAACAAGGACAAGCAGCAAAACGCCCAGCGAGCAGCAGCCGCAGCAGCUGUAGCAAUAUAAAUUUCCCAUUUGCGAAUUUAAUAAAAAUAAGUUGCAGGCGGACAAGCGUCCAGACGACCAGCAGCAUCGCUAAGGAGCAAAGCCGGCAAAGGAUGCGCGCCUUUUUCAUCCAACUGUGUGUACGUGUGUGUGUGUGUGUGUGUGUGUGUGUGUGUGUGUGUAUGUGUGUGUGUGUGUGUGUGUGUGUGUGUAUGUUUAUUUGCUUGUGUAUAUGAAUGUUGUUGCUUUUGUUGUUGUUAGCCUGCAAACUCAAAAUGCAAUAAACGGCAAGUGUGCGCUGUGCUCGACUCGGGGCUGCAGAUGCUAACUGGAAGUGGCUGCAGAAGUGAGUUGACGGGGGGCGGGAUGGUGAGCCAGCUAUUGGGGGCACACAGCCAGACACAUUACAAACAGGCGUUGCAUGUGAGCAUUUUGCAACGGCAGCGGUCGUGGGCGUGGAAAUAGCAAAUACACAUAAAAACCCAACCAGCUUUUUAAGACAUUUCAACAAAAAAUUGAUUUUAAGGAUGAUAUAUAAUUUUUACAAACAAACUCCGACGGUCAACAACACCUUGUUGAUUUAUAGCUGGUAAUUGAAGUCAGACAUUUUUACAAUUGGAAAUUCUCUGCUGAACGGUGGAAUGCGUUUUUGUAAUAAAGCUUUCCAUUGACGUUCAAAAUAA